rnacentral:tRNA from 1 species
GUCUUUUUAGUUUAAAUAAAACAUUAGAACGUGAAACUAAAAAUAUAAAAGACA